rnacentral:rRNA from 1 species
GACGAACGCUGGCGGCGUGCUUAACACAUGCAAGUCGAACGGAAAGGCCCCUUCGGGGGUACUCGAGUGGCGAACAGGUGCGUAACACGUGAGUAACCUGCCCUUGACUUCGGGAUAACUUCGGGAAACUGGGGCUAAUACCGGAUAGGAAUCCUUGCUGCAUGGUGGGGGUUGGAAAGCUUCGGCGGUUUUGGAUGGACUCGCGGCUUAUCAGCUUGUUGGUGGGGUAGUGGCUUACCAAGGCUUUGACGGGUAGCCGGCCUGAGAGGGCGACCGGCCACAUUGGGACUGAGAUACGGCCCAGACUCCUACGGGAGGCAGCAGUGGGGAAUAUUGCACAAUGGGCGGAAGCCUGAUGCAGCAACGCCGCGUGCGGGAUGACGGCCUUCGGGUUGUAAACCGCUUUCAGCAGGGGCGAAGCUUGUGGUGACGGUACCUGCAGAAGAAGCACCGGCUAACUACGUG